rnacentral:rRNA from 1 species
UCGAGGAUCUUCGGCAAUGGGCGCAAGCCUGACCGAGCGACGCCGCGUGAAGGAUGAAGGCCUUCGGGUUGUAAACUUCUGUCGAGGGGGAUCAAGGGCAACUUGAGUGAUCCCUGGAGGAAGCACGGGCUAAGUUCGUGCCAGCAGCCGCGGUAAGACGAACCGUGCGAACGUUGUUCGGAAUCACUGGGCAUAAAGGGCGCGUAGGCGGCUUAUCAAGUCAGGGGUGAAAUCCGGCAGCUCAACUGUCGAAGUGCCUUUGAUACUGAUGAGCUCGAGGGAGGUAGGGGUAUGCGGAACUUCCGGUGGAGCGGUGAAAUGCGUUGAUAUCGGAAGGAACGCCGGUGGCGAAAGCGGCGUACUGGACCUCUUCUGACGCUGAGGCGCGAAAGCCAGGGGAGCAAACGG